CGACCAGGAAACCCGGAAAGAGGAUCCAACCGGCGCCCCACCUUCCGGCCAUCUCCCGGUGGCAGACCACCUGCAUUCAAACCCUCUCCUCAGCGCCGAUGUUCUCUUGUGCGGUGGAUUACCCAAUCGGUGACGAACGGCGAUGGUACGACGUCUAGAAGCCGCUGAAAUUUCCGGCGAUUUUCCUGCAAUUUCCGGCAACGAUACAGCAGUGCACUGGUAUCAUUUGAAUCCUCUCGUCAUCACCGACCUUUCUGUGCUCUUGGAUCGUCCAUGCAUUGGCUGUAGAGAGAGAAUCGACAUUCGGAAGCUUUGACAGCUUCGAUGAGUUUUCCGACAACACCGGCGACAGAGUGAGCUGCAUGUGGUACGAAAAUUUAUCCCCUCCUUAUGCUCUACAUGAUUAUGUAAUUGGUUUUCAAAUUUGGUUGGGUUUUGAUGAAUUGGUUUCUGGGUUGGUUUUGAGUUCGACGCUGUCACCGACGCCGGCGACUUUUCUGGCUCUUCUUGGUCCGUUUCUGACUUGACCGCUUCCGUAGGCGAGGGCUAACCACAAUUCGGGAAGCCUGUUGGGCCAAAUUGAUGAUUUUGGAAACAUCAAGGUUAUGUUGAGUUUUGGUGGAAAUGAUGCUAUUGAUGAAGUGUUGAGAAAGUGAAGGAAAAGGGGAGAAGUUCUUCUGCUGUCAUGUUCUUCGUCAAGAACAUUGGACUGCCAAUUCGGACUCUGCUUUUGAUUUAAUCUGAUAUCAAGGAUUCAGUUACUGAAGGAGCGGAAGGUUCAUGAUUCUCGGACAACGUUAAAGGUUAGAGCAUCGGAAUCCAGAUAGGGGACUCGGGACUCACUUGAUUAUUGAUGGCCUGAGAGUGAAAGGAACAUAGCGAUUCCCUGGGAUUCGAUCCCCUAAACCUCCGGAGGGGCCGUAUGGACGGAAUCGUAUCCGACAUCCCCUGAGGUGUGGCAUUAUUUCUAGGUGAUAUGGCGUAA